rnacentral:misc_RNA from 1 species
UACGUAGGGGGCAAGCGUUGUUCGGAUUUACUGGGCGUAAAGGGCGCGUAGGCGGCGUGACAAGUCACUUGUGAAAUCUUCGGGCUUAACUCGGAGCGGCCAAGUGAUACUGUUGUGCUAGAGUGCAGAAGGGGCAACUGGAAUUCUCGGUGUAGCGGUGAAAUGCGUAGAUAUCGAGAGGAACACCUGAGGCGAAGGCGGGUUGCUGGGCUGACACUGACGCUGAGGCGCGAAAGCUAGGGGAGCAAACGGG